GUUUUUUUGUCCCGCCACGUCAGCUUUGUUGGCCCGAGAAAAGCGGAUUCACAUCGCUGGAUUCCCGGGUGCCUCUUCUCGCGAGCGAGAAACUGUGGCUAUGCUGAGGUUUAGAAGGAGACUGCCACGUCAUUUCUCGGCAACCAAACUGCAACAACAUCAACAGCUGAAGCAAUUGGUCUCCAUCUUACUCAAAUACCCAUCAAGGCGCCAAGCCACCCAACAAGUCCACUCUCACUUCAUCACCUCUGGGUUACUACACAACCACCACCACCACCACCACCACUCUGCCUCCUAUAUUCUUCUUUUCAACACUUUGCUUCGCCGCUACUCUCUCGGCCAAUCCCCUUUGGAAGCUUUCCUUUUCUACAAGCACCUCAGCUGCAAUCUUUCCUUUGACAGCUUCACCUACACUUUCCUUCUCCAUGCGUGCUCCAACUUUGGCUCCACCCCUGCAGGACUUCAACUCCAUGCUAUCAUCCUCAAAGUUGGUUUUCAAUCCCAUGUUUACGUACAAACUGCUUUGGUGUAUGUGUAUGCUGUUUGUGGGUCUUUAUUUGAAGCUCUGCAUGUGUUUUACGAAAUGCCUGAGAGAAACACCGUCACCUGGAAUGUGGUGAUCACCGGUUUGACGAAAUGGGGUCACCUCCAACUUGCUCGUUCUCUCUUUGAUCAGAUGCCAACUCGGACUGUUGUGUCCUGGACUGCUAUCAUCGAUGGGUACACACGCAUGAAUCUGCCUGAUGAAGCUUUGGCUUUGUUUAGAAGAAUGAUUAUUGAUGAUGGUAUAGAACCCACUGAAGUUACCCUUCUGGUCAUUUUUCCGGCCAUUUCAAAUCUCGGGACUCUUAAAAAUUGCCAAUCAGUUCACGCUUAUGGAGAGAAAAGAGGAUUUAAUGCGUCUGACAUACGCAUUACAAAUUCUCUCAUAGACUCAUAUGCAAAAUGCGGGUGCAUAAAGAGUGCAUCGAGAUUCUUUGAGGAGAUAUCUGGCCAGAGGAAAAAUUUGGUGUCUUGGACAUCUUUAAUCUCUGGUUUUGCGAUGCAUGGUAUGGGAAAAGAAGCUCUAGAGAGUUUUGAAAGGAUGGAGGAAGUUGGUAUGAAGCCAAAUCGGGUGACUUUCUUGAGUGUUUUAAAUGCUUGUAGUCAUGGAGGCCUGGUUGAUGAGGGGCUAAAAUUUUUCAACAAGAUGGUAAAUGGGACGUGUCAAGUUGUGCCUGAUAUCAAGCACUAUGGGUGUUUAAUAGAUAUGUUGGGGAGGGCAGGGAGGUUAGAAGAAGCAGAGAAGAUGGCAUUCGAGAUACCAGCUGAGAUUCUAAAUGUCGUGAUUUGGAGGACACUUUUAGGUGCUUGCAGCUUUCAUGGUAAUGUUGAGAUGGGUGAGCGUGUUACCAGGAAGAUAUUGGAGAUGGAGAGAGCAUAUGGGGGGGAUUAUGUGCUCAUGUCCAACAUCUUUGCUGGUGUUGGAAUGUUUGGAGAUGCUGAGAGGUUGAGAAAAUUGAUGGAUGAGAGGAAUGUCUUCAAAGUUCCAGGCCACAGUUUGGUCUAACUGAAGGUAAAGAUGGGUUGUCAUGGUCUAGACAGAUUGUCCUAUAUGUGAAUGCUAGGUUGAUAAGGAAACUGCUUAACGUAAUGACAGAUAUCUCAUCCUUCUAGGAGUGCUUUUGUGUUGGUUGAGACUGUCUUUCAUGGGGUCCCUUCUCUUAACUUUUGCUUUUUUAUUGGAUAAUUUUGGAAUCUGCAUUAAAAAAAAAAAAAAAAAUGGUUAUGCUGUUUAUUUGAAGGAUGAAUAGGUUGUCGACAAGAAUGCAGGAACCCAAAAGGCUUCAGUCCUGGACUUGCUGAGGAUAUACUCUUUUGGGGAUAAUCAAAUUUCAAUCCCAAAAUCCUACUUUCUCCUCUCAAGUGAAUUCUAACCCUAGUUAUUUGCAUGAAGGGAGGAGUUCAAUCCAAGCAUUAGUGGCACCUAUGGAUUUGGAGGAUAGGAGCAUUCCAUUUUUAACAGCAAUUGCAGCCAACAAUGGAACAUCUGGCUUAUUUGAGGCAGAUUGGUGGUUGAGUUUCACAGUUCAUGGAUGGAUCUACGCUCCAUUAGUAAUUUGGAUCAUUGCCCAUUAUUCCCAAGAUGAGGUAAAAUCUACUGGGAUCCAUUUCCCAAGAUGAGGUUGAUAUGGAAGAGAGAAUAGAUAAGGAUUUUUCAGCGGUUGAUCAUAAUGGUUCGUGUGCCCAGACAAGCCUCACAUUGAAACCAAAAAGAAAUAUCAGUACAAAAAGAUAUUCAGGAGAUAUGUACUUUCUUCUAUGCCUAAAACUUCAUUGUUCAACUGCAGGCACCCCCUGUGAUAGUAUUCUCUUCAGCUUGUGUAGGAUUGGCAGGCCAGAGAUUUUCCUUAUAUGUUAUUUUGUCUAGUCUUUGAUUUUAUUUGGUGAUGAUUUCAAUACCAUCAAAUUGACAGAUUUUUACUG